CAGCCCUGGAGACCAUUCUUGGCAGGCAGAAGGGGAUCCAAGAACUUCUGAGCUGUUGACAGGGGGCCUGUGUGUCUGUUCAUCAUUGCUACAGUGGCUCCUGACCACAGGGCGAUUGGCGGCCGUGGGCCAGGUCUCCUGGGCAGCUGCUUUGACGUCAGGAUGGCUGCAUACAAGCUACUCGCGGAGGUGCGAUGGAAUUGCUGGCCACAGGCAAGUGUCUGCACAGCAGUGCAGCCCUCCGUGGCCAUGUAAAUGAUACCAUGGGCGCCCGAAGCCCGGCCAGCCGUCCCUGGGGCGGACAGGCAGCUAUCUCUGUAGCUUUCCCGUCACCAGUGCUGCAGGAAAGCGCCCUCAGCACCUGCAACUCCUCGCUGCUGGGUUCUGGGCAGGACCUGAGCUGUGAGGCAGGGCUGGCCCAACCCACCCCAGCUGAGACUGGGCCUGGGCCUGGGCCACACGGCCCUGAGCUGGCCACACCUUGCAGAGGAGCCAGGGCUGGGCCAGAAUCCCGCUGGACAGCGGCAUGGGGGUGACUCUGUGAGGGGCCUUUCCUUCUGCAGAACAGCUGCCAGGUGCACCAGGCAGUGGGGACUGGAGGGCUCUGGCCGCCCUCCUCACCAUCACCACCCCGGGAGGCCAGAGCCGGGGGCAGGUGGAGCCCCUUGGCCAUUCGCCCUGGGCCCUGGCCGGCCUGAAACCCAUACUACAUCCUGGUCCCCUGAGGCCAGCCCAGCCACCUCAAAACCCCACGUGAGGCCACUUCUCUGCUGUCCUUGGGACGCAGGGCGGCGGCCGUGGGGAUGGGAGACAGAUGCGCGCUCCUGGGCUGCGUAAACAAGGCCGGGAAGGUGGGUGUUAGGUUACGCCGGUGAAAUAUCGUAAAAUAAAUACAAGAAUGGUUGGUAUACUUCAGGUAAAUUAGCCUGAUUCAAGUUGUCAGCUUGAGGAAAGUCUAAAUAAACAGAGCUCACAUCUCUGCUUGGCGUAGGAAGGGGCGAGGAGGCCGCAUGGGCCAGCUAAUCCCCAACUCGCGGUGGCUGUGGCCUUGGGCAAAGGACCUGGGGCACUGAGUCCCGGGGAGCCCCCCAGCCGGAGGCCCCUCGGUGGAGCUGGUAGCCCAGAGACUCAGGGGUCUGAGAGCCGCAGUCCUCCCCUCUGCAAAGGGGAUAGACAGGGCCACUUGUUGGUCCCUCAGGUAAAGGAGUGCUCAGUAUCCAAACCCCGGGGUCCCCUAUAUGUCACAUAUGGUACAAUGGUCUUGCAGUCAGAGCUGCAGGCUGGGGCAGGGCCUCAGGCCCCGGUGAUCAUCUGCCUCCGACCCUUGUGAUGUCGCUGGCCCUCACAUGACCUCAGACAGCCAGGCAGGACAGGGCAGGGGCCGGCUGUCCAAAGCCUGAACCAUCAUCGCCCAGCUCACCCAGGGGUCCAGGAGCUCUGCCUCCCUGUAGCUGGUUCCCUGGGAAUACCGGUGUGCGGACCCCAGACCCAGAACUGCCAGGAGAACCCCAGGAACCAGGCCCAGGGAUCCAGCGGCCGCUCCUGAGCGAAGGUCUUCCCCCUGGGCCCUGUCCACCCUGUCUGCCUCUCUCCCUGGCCCUCUCUCUCCCUCCUCCGUGUUUCCCCUCGGGUCCCAGCCCGGCCUCCACAUCCCUCGCUUCCUGAGCACAGUCAGAGCCACGAGAAAUUCUGCUAAAGCUCUCCGUGGACUAUCCGAGCAGAGCCCGUAGUCCCCACACUCUCAACCCUGUCCCUGAUUCGUCACCCCCGCUCCAUGGCUGGCCCAGAGCCAGAAGCCCCCAGCCAGGUGAUACCAGGACUAUGGGUGGCCUCACAACAGGACCUGGGCCUUGUGCAAACCAUCACACCGGCUGUCCCAGCGUUCAGAGCCAAGGUGACAGUGGGAGGAUCAGGCACAGCAGCGACAGACCUGGACGCCUCACUGCCUGAGCAGAACUGGCCAGCCUUCCCCUGGACCAACCCUCAGCUCUGGCAUCACAAGGAAGCCCAGGACACAAGCUGCAGAUGCCCACACCCUUGAAGGUCCCCACUUUCUCUCCAGGCCCCCUCAGGCCCCCAGGCCUCUCCCAGCUGUGGCUGCAAUGUCGAUGACAGGUGCAGGAGGCGGGCUCUGGGUCCUGGUCUGGGUCAGACUCCUUUGCUGUUCGAUGCUCCCACCCAGGGCACCUGUGGGGCCACUUGGCUGCAUUUGAGGCCUUGCUGUUUCACCAUCCCCGGCCACAGGAGGUGGGGAGGCAGAGCGCCCGAGGACAGGCCAGUGCUCGUCCGAUGAGAUGCACCCAGGCUGCCCCAAGUGUCCAGCACCGGCUGGGAGCUCCUCGCCCCACCCACUCUCUGUCCUGAGGUAUGAGGACACAGAAGCUAUGCCAGGUCUGCAGCUAGAGCUGGUGCCAGCAUGGGGGGCCAGCUCAGGCACUGGAAGAGGCCAUGUGGCUACUCUUACAUCUUUUGGGGAAGAUUAUUGGGGGUCACCUUGCAUCCCCUGAGGAAGCACAUGGCCUGCACCCAGGGCAGGGACCCGAAGACCCUUCCUGGGUACCCCUCAUCAAGACUUGGAAAAAACCUGUGAAUCCCCAGAGGAAACUCCCCCAAAGGCUUAUCUUCCAUCUCCCAGGGAGGAUUCUGUAGGGCCCGGGCUGGAGCCAGGCUCUUCCCCAUCCCAGCAGCGGCAGCGCAGCAGGUGUGGGAAGGCGGGACCAUCAGGCAAUAACCUGCCAUGGGCAAUUAGCUAACGUCAACAGGCUGGAGGCCGUCUGGCCAGAUGGGGAAUCGGGUAUUUAUUGCGGUUAUCACUAGCAAAUUGAUCAUUACCGCGCUGACUUUUAAGAGUGUGCAGUGCCCAGCCUGGUGAGUUGUUGGUUCAGCCCCAAAUGAACAGAACCUUUAAAACCCUUGAUCGCUCUCACCUGGAAGUUUACACUAAAUUUAACAAAUGGAGUAGCUUCUAAUCCUGCUUACCUCGUGCCAGGCUGCGCCUCCCAUGUGCCAGUGUGCACUGGGCAUGCCUACAUCCCAGGUUGGAUCCCGGCACCGGCUAGAGCCACACUGCCCCAAUGCUCCCUCAGCGGGGCCCCAGUCCGGCCCCAGCGUCCGGCCCCAGCGUCCCUCGCUCCUGCCUGAUCAAUCCUGUCCCACCCUGCAGACGCUGAGCCAGGUGAGUUCUGCCUCUUGAGGGCAGACACACAAUGUACCAAAAGUGAAAGAACAUGGACAACCAUCACCACAGAAAAUCCGUCAGGCAGGCGGCCAGCCCUGCCUCUGUCUGUGCAAACACUAAGGCCUCUGCACCCUGCAGCAGGGCUGGGCUACCCCACGCCACCCCCUGCCAGGGCCUGGCUCCAGGUGGAGACUGACGGUUGGGAUGCCCUUCCUCCUGGACCCCCGGUGAGCAGUUGUGGGUGUCUGGAGAGUGUGGGUGGAUUUUCACUUGGGAUCAGCCUCUCUCCUGCUCCAACAAGAAGGGCCAUAGAGAGGGGAGGGAGACAGCGGCCAGGUGGGUCCUGCAGCAGGGGCAGCAAUGCUGAUCUCUGUACCCACUAAGAGCCCAGGCCAGGGACCCUAGCAGUGACCCUAGCCAGUGACACUGGCUGGAGACCCUGGCUAGCAGACCCCAGCCAGCCACCUGGUAAAAAUCUUGCAGGAAUCCUCACAUGGUACCUGGGAGGGAACGAUUUUCCAGUUCAGCCAUUGCUGUUGACACUGGCCCCAAAGAUGGAGCUGGACUGGACGUCUGUGCCCCUCCCAGAAGUCUCAGCACAUGAGCAGCACCAGGCUCCACACUGAGAGAGGUCGCUGGGUGGCACCUGACCCAAGCCCAAGGGUCCUCGUCAACAGCCAAAGGCACUGACCACAAGCCAAAUGCCAAGGGCAGAUUUGUACCCAGUCCAUGGCUCCAGAAGCGCCUUCCAGGCAGCCUGAACCCUGUGCUAAGGGUUCCUCUCACGCCCCCUGGUGACUGUCCCCUGGCUCAGCCUUUCUGAGCUGGUCCUGCGAAGAGCGAGCACCCCUCCUAUGGCCCCUGGGCCUCCUGCUGCCUCCUGCAGCAUGCAGGUCCUGUACGAAGCCAUGGCCGGCCACCUCGGCUCCUGGGCCUCCAUGGCCGGCCACCUCGGCUCUUCUGAUGGCCCCGGGAGCUGUGUCCUGGGCCCAGCGGCCCUGGCUGGCUUGUCGCUGUGCUUGGUUUUAUUUCAUAUCUAGAAGAUCACUGAGCAAGAAGCUAAGAGUCAGAAAAACACUUGCUAGGCACAGGGGAAGGCAGCCUGCCCCAGGGACACCAGAGAGAGCAGGCCUGCUCAACCAUGACAUCAGGAUAGCAGUGUCACCAGACCUGGCCCUGUGCCUGUCCUCAGGGAGCUGCUGUCUUUGCAGCUCCACACACAGGAGCCUCCCACUGGCAUGGGGAAGACAUGGCACCUGGGUGUCCCUGAGGCUCACGACAUCAGGCAGCGUCCCCUGGGCUCUGGUGAAGGCAGGAGGAAGGGAGCAGCCGCAGGUGCAUGGGGAGGCCCCGAGGCCCCGGCCCCUGUGAUACAGGUGCUGCUCUGAGGAGUGUGGGUGCCUCGCCCUUGGGGCGCUCUGGCGGUCAGGGGUGGAGGCAGCCAUCAGCCUGUGGGGACCCUCACAGAGGUGGGAAUGCCUCCACUCCUUCUCCAGGACGGCACGGAUGAGGUUGCAAUGACAGCUGUCAGGUGACAUAGCGACCGCAUCCUUUCCUGAUGGCCCCAUGCUCAGCAGACCCCUGACCCCUAGCUGGGGCUGCCACAUUAGCACAUAGGAAGAAGCCGAGCCCCAGCUCAGGACUAGGUGCCCCCCCACCCUGCGGCUCCAGGUGACUCCUGAGGCCCUGGGGCACCAACCCCCAGCCCCCCAAGUCCAGAGGUGGAGCCCCACCCACAGGAACCUGCCUGGCUGUGGAGAGCGCCUCAGGGUGUCGGCAGGGCUGCUGUGUGAUGGGCCAUGACGCAGUCUCUGGGCUCCCUCUGCUGUCCCAGCUGGGACACGGUGCCAGGAGCGGUGCCCGUUCGGGGAGGCAGCAACAGGGGAGCCUGCCAGGGGCCCCCACGAAGUCCCGGGAGCAGGGAUGGCGGCCCUGCCAUGCGGGGAGCAGCCGCACACCCAGUGUUUCAGCAAAGACUCAGCUCUUCUCCCGCCUGUCUCUAGCCCGCUUCUCUGCCAGUGUUCUCUCCCCAGCUCUGUCAGGAGCUCUCUCCAGCUGGCCUCGUUUCCCCUUCAGCCCCCAUCCUGUCAUCCUCAAGUCCCCUCUCUUCCCGGCCCUGUGAGAUGCUCCCACUCGUCCGGCCCAGCCCAGAGCACCUGGCCCGGUACUGAAGGACUGAGGCUGCGCCAUGCUCUGUGUGGUGCCACGGGGGGGCGCUGCUGUGCUCGAAGCAGAGAGGAGUAGGUAAACUUUUGUCUGGACUGUGUGCAUGCACGUGCAGAGCAACCCGUGUGCACAGUUUAAUGUGCACAUACAUGCUAAUGUGUUCAUGCACACAUACACAUAUAUACACAGGCUACAUGUGUGCAUACCUAAGGGCACAUGCACGUAAAUGUAAACAUGCCCAUGUGCACACACGUUUAUGCACGCAUGUGCAUGGCAGAGAUUUGGUCAUGCCCCAAGAGAGCUGGGCACAAGGACACAGGCUGGGUGCUGACAGGGCAGGCACAGUGAGCCAGGGGUUGCCUGCCGAGAGAGCUUGGGCCUGCCCAGCAGAGGUAUGCGGAAGGCAGGGGGACAGGCAGCAGGGGCUGGAGAGGACUUUGGGGGUUGAGGGAAAGCUGGAGGGUGGGGCCGAUCACCAGGCUCAAGAGCUGACCCGUGUCCUGCUGGCGGGCUGUGCACGUGACCCGGACGCGGAUGGAGUCUGUGGGAGCCUGGAGUGUAGGCGGCUGAGCGAUGGCCAUGCCACCUGUGUGUCUCCCUCGCCAUGGGGAUACUGGAGCGAAAGCGCGAGGACACGAGAAUGUCCUCAGCCCUUUCCCAGAGGAGCUGUCUGCUGGGUCUGUCUGCUAUUUCCCGCCGUUAACCUGGGUCCUGGGGCUUGGGGGGAGCCCUGAAAAGAGACGCCUGUGGGGACUGGGCUCAUCUCAGAGCCACAGCGCAUCUGACGCCCACAGCACAGGGCCCUGAGGCCCAGGUCUACAGUCAGCUGCACCCGGGUCUGAACUCCUUGUGGGGCCUCCGGGGACCCGGCAUGAGAGACACAGGGCUCAGGACCACAGACGGAGACUGCACUGGACCGACAGGAGACACCGGGGCUCCGGCCCAUGACCCGAGAGCAGCCUGGCGGACACCAGCGAGACUGUGACAGCUCUGUCUUGCGUGACCAAGCCGGUUACAUGGGUGUCACCAGGCCUGCAUCCCCUGGCUCCUGGGCGAGUCCUGCGCAGGGUGGGGAUGGCAGUGGUCACCGUGGCCCCAGCCCAGCUCGGCCCUGGCCGCAGGCGAGGCGGCAUCCCAGGAACAUGUGAAGACAAAUGGCCACCCGCCUUCAAAUGAACCCCACUAAUGACUGCUUAGCACGUCCAUAACUUUACCAACCAAACCCGGCCUGCAAAUCCCUGACGAGGCUGGGCCCUUGAUUAAUGCUAAUGGUUUUUCUCACCAGCUGUGAAAAUGCAUUUUCCAUAAUUUAGUUGUCAUUACAAUGGGAAGGAUUUAUAAAACACACGCACACACUGUGUGCACAGAGGCCCUGGAGGGGAGGGCAGUGGAGGCCAGGAGCAGCCAGGCCUGCCAUGAGAGGCAGCAGGGCUCUGGCCACACCCGGACGCCCAGCUUCCAGCUCCUGGCAGGACACUGUGCACCUCUAUGCUGUGCCAAGGAUCCACAAGGGAGGAUGGCCAUGACCAGGCUGGGCCUGGCCCUCGGCACCUCUCCUGGUGAGGGACGGCAACCCUGGGCAGCUCCAGCCCUGCCCUGUUACCGCGGGUCCCAGACCAGGCGCUCAAAGCCCCUCCUGCAGCAGCGGCCACAGGCGAGGAGCUCAUGAGGUGCAUCCAACACCAGAGCUACCUGGGCUCAGGCCUUGCCAGGAGGCUGCCCCUCGUCACCCUGUCUACCUCCCCACAGAGCACUGCCAUGCAGCAGGGUCUUGCUGGAAGGAAGAAAGGAAGGAAAGAGGGAGGGAGCGAUCAGGACGGAUAAGUCAGGGGAAAGAUGGAUAACUGGAUAGAAAGUGGGAGAGAGGAAGGGGUAGAUGAUGGAAAGAUGGGGAGACGGAAGGAAGAAGGGGAGGGAACAGACACAGGAAGGAAGCCCCAGGCAGGCAGCACACAGGGCCUUUUAGAAGAUCCCCACGAAGCCCUCGUAGCGGUGGACACCCAGUGACCAGCAGAAAUUUGACACUGUGGCUUGGGCCGAACAGGGCCCAGCCAAGGCCCAGAGCCCCAAGUGGCCAGGCUGGAGUCCGGCGAGGGCGGCCACCGACCAAGGCCGCUCUGCUCCCAAGCCUGCAGGCUCAGCCAGGGCAGGGCCCCCCACCCCGCUGUCUAAGCACAGAUGGGCGCAGCGGUGGGGGCGAGCGGGGCAGGCCGGGAAGCAGCCGGCAUCGAAUCAAUUAAUGCGCGCUCUUCCCAGCCCAGGCACGCUUUGCCUUCAAUUAGCAGAUUCGCCGGCCCUGCUGCAGGCCCGGGGCCUCCACCACGGAAACUUUCUCCUUCUUGUUUUAAUCUUUCACUGAGCCGGCCUUUCGCCUCCAGCCCGUCUAAUUGAAACUAAUCUUCGCGGGCAAGGCCUGUCUCUCCUCCUAAUCCUCCUCCGAGGAAGUUCACAUGGUCCCAAUUACAGCCACACCGGCCCCUUUCAUUCCCGCCCUUGUCUCCCUCUGCCAGCCUCAUUUUUUGAAAGUCUGCAUUAUUAACUCCAUGCUUGCGAGUUCCUGUCACGGGCCGCGAGAUGCUAUCGCGGGCUGCCGAUGGAUAAGGUUACCACGAAAGCAUUUUGUGGAUUACGUUUCGCACAAAGGCGAUAGAGGACGCGAUAGCAAUGCCGGGAGCUGGGCGGGCACGGGGCGGGCGCGCUGGCCACCGUGGCCCUGCCUGCAACCUGCAGCCAGGGCCAGGGUGCCGGGGAGGAGGGGGAGGGAGCACAUCAUCCACCACCAAGCCACAAGGCCAGGCCGGAUCCCAUGGGGGGCUGCGGAGCAGGAGACGGGGUCCCUCCAGCCGAGCUCAGUGUUGCAACAAGCCAAACGGAAACCCGACAUUUCCAGGCUGUCGAGGACGUCAAGUUUCCGAGCUCCGGGCUGGAAUCCACCCCCGCCAUGCGGGCAUGCUGGUUAUCACAGCCGAUCAGACCUCAGAUUGGCAGCUGGGGAUGUCUCUGAUUAAUUUUUUUGAAAAGAAACUGAAAUAAUCAUUUCUUAAUGAAAGCAGUUGGGUUUUUUUAAGUACCAAGCUCCAAGACUACAGGAGAACAAUAGAAUGGGCCGCUGGGGGUAACCAGGUAGGGAGGGGGCCGGGACACCGCCUGCUCUAAGGCACUGAGGGUCAGUGCUCUGCCUAUCACCUGCAGGGUCCGGGGCCAGGGACACUCGCCCUGCUGCACCCCCA